CAGUUAAUUUUGAUAUAUUCCAACUGCAAUUUUGCAAGCAUACCUCAGCAAUCUAUAUGGCAUAGAUGCAUAUGCUACCUCCUGUCAUCAUCACCCAUGAGGGCUUUAGUAUUCUGGUUUUAUACUUCACAUUAAUUUGUUUAAAGAUGGGAUGGGUGUGUCUGCCACUGUAAUGUCAUAUCUGCUGCAAGCUUUACAAGAAACAUGUAUGCGUGCGUCAUGCGUUAUCUUUUUUUUUAAUCUUUCGUCCUCUUCAGUCCCCUCUCCUGUUAUUUUGAAAAACACCUAAAAAGUGUUGUCAUGUUGAGUAUACGUCUUUGUUAGACCUUAUUUCAACCUUCUUUGCAGAAUGUGUUGUUGCAGCUCAUAAUUCUUGUAAUUACUCCAAAAGCUAAAACCCUACAAAAGGUUUUCAGACUUAAAAUGAACUAAAUCAUGUUUCAUUCUGAGUGUAAAGACACAAGAAAAAGUCUGUGGCUAAAAAGAUGGAGAGAUCCCUUAUCCCUUAAGCCAUUAGUUCAAUAUUUUGACCUUAUUUAGAAUAUGAAUUGUGGGAAAAAGACAACAACUUCCUCUUUUAUGGGGUCAGAAAAGAAACCAGUGUUAUGUCAGAAAGAAACAGCUUGCCUUUGGGAAAGAAAUCCCCAAUAGUGUAUACUAGUUGUUUUAUGUUACAGCCCACUUUUGAACAACCAAGAUCAGGGUUAGGCAAAUAUAUAAUGCAAUCAAAUGCAAGGACAUGAAAGGUCAAGGUGGAUAGGUAGAAAAAUGUCACAAAUCUCAUUCCUAAAGUUACAGAGUUACUGGCCCGAUGGAAAAGACUGCCACAAAUCACAAAAUUUAGGCCCAAGAUAUGAAAAUAAACAUAAAAAACAUAAAAUGAAAGCUCUUUUGUAGUUAAUUAAGAGAACAAGAAAGCAGCCUUGUGCCCUGCUGCAUCUAGUGAGUGCUCGUUUGUCUGUGACUUAGCAUUCCCAGAGUAUCCAUCUCUUUGUGUCUAAACAGGCUGUCAAUCACCACGCUGGCACUUCCUGUUUACCUGUCCCAUUGACCUCCUCUUUGGAGAGUCACCGGUGCUGAGUGCUCCAGGCAGCCCUGAGGACAUGCACUCGCAUGGCUAGCUUCAAAGUUAAGGCAAAGUUUACCCAGAGUUGAGCUUCCACAGGCUGCCCCGCUGUUCACUGGGGUUGUGUGCUCAGAUAAGAAGGCUGCUUCCUGGUCCAAACAUACACAGACAAAGAGAAAACAAAGAAGAAGGACAGGCAGAAAGGAAAAAAAGAGGAGGCUUGGAGGCAAACAGCGAAGUCUUAUCGCAGUUGGCGGUUCAAAGAGCCACUCCUCGCCAGGGCGGAAGCUCCUCUCAACCUAGAAUGAGAUCAGUGUGCAUCCAACAAGGGACUUCCUCCCCACACAGGAAGUGGAGGUGCAGCUGAGAGGGAAAGGGCUCUUCCUCUGCCACCCCCGUUCCUCCAAGUCCUGCUCCUCCCUCGUCCUCCUCCAUGAUCCGUGUUUUGUCUCAGAAAUAACAUAAAGCAUUGCUCACGCUCACUCCCUCUCCCCUUUUUCUGACCAAGCAGGAAGUGCAGCCUGUUAUGUUUACAUAACAGAGGUCCUCUCUCCCGCCAAAGCCACCCAAUGGCCCCUGGGAAACGGGAAUCCCCAGACUUCAUCUGCUCACAUUUGUGAAGUGGACAUCCAUCACAGAUUGACAGAGAAAUGUGUCUGCAUGUGUAUAUGGGAGAGAGGCUUCCGGUGGGAGCAAAGAGAGAGAGAACAGAAGAGCAUCUGUGCUAAUGUUGAUGAUCCUUUCCUGAGAAGGUUUUCCUUUUACUUAAGUUGACCCCUGCUGCAAUGGAAGAAGAACUGGAUGUGCUCUUGUUCAAGAGCCCCCCAUCAUUUCCCAUUGUGCCAUUUGGCUUUGGCACUUAUCUCUUUGCACAUGAUUCCAAUAGUGAAGAUUUGCACUCAAUGUGCGCUUGAAGCUGGGAGAUAUGAAUGCCAUCGGUGAUGGAUAACACACUAUGUCUGCCUUGUUCUGGGGGGAGAUGUGCACACUCAUGAGGCUCAUGUGACUAGCAAUGGGUCGACAGAGAGAGGGUCUAUCCAUCUGGGGCCCCCAGAAAACUGCCCGUUGGCCAUUAUGGAACAAAUGAAGACUUUUGAGUGUGUGGAAGGGAAGUGGAUAUUUAGUUCACUGGUGGCGGGACUAGAUUAAUGUGUUUCUGUCCAUGGAUUUAAUUGUGUGUAACAAAAGUCUUGAUGUGGUGUUACAAUCAAAUGUUCAGAUCAUUUUUCUUUCAUUAUAAAUAAAUUUGAAAAUUUACAAUUCCCUUUAAACAGAAACACCUCAGAGAAAAGUCUUAAAAAUAAGAAUACAGCAGAGAGAAAAAUGGCUGAUGCCUUUGCAAAAAGACAAACUUUCUGACUUUUCUUUUUUACAUUUUCGUGUCAACUGCAGAAACAAUUGGCCUCGUAGAAGAGCAAUUUUGGAUCCUUGCUCAAAACAGAUUUAUCUUGUUUUUCAGUCUAAUUAUCCAGAUUCUUUUAACUGUGCAAACUUGCCAUAAAUCAUUCAUUUCAGACUAAUGAAUCCCACCUGUUCAUAAAGAGGUGAACGUUUGUGACUCUUGAGUGGUUUAGGCUAGAUGAAGUUAGAUGUUUUCAAGGCAGGGCAGUGUGUGCCUAAUCACUGAGUAUUUGGAAAUAGUUCAGCUUGUUUCAGGUAAUGUUACACUGUCUUCAGACAGCAUAUAGACUCGGACAGCUGUUGGCGCAGCACAACCAACUGCUAGAAUAUAGACGCUCCUGCAGAUCUGUUUGUUUGCUUGAAUAAAAGGAUUCCCUGUUUUGCUUUGAUAAAUUGCUGCCAAGUAACUCUAUCCCAUUUGUUUUUGUUGUUUUGUGGAUUCUAUUCAUUGCAUGUGUUCCCGUACUAUAUCUAUGCCCGUGUUUAUCCACACAUUUGUUUAGAGUGUGAAAUGCUUCUACGCGUCCUGCUGUUGAAGAACUUGUCCUUGGCUCUGCAGAUCCACUCACAGAGUGGAGAGUUUGAGUAGCUGCCAUGAGGACUUAUGGCCUCAGGACCUGUUGGUGGAGGUCAGAGAGUACAAGAGGCGACAGCUGUAGAAAUGUUGAGAGCCCGGUGCAGCAUGAAUACUGCCGGUUAUAGCCAGCAUCGCACGCACACACGGAUACAUACACACCCACACACUCAACACACACAGCGAUCAGAUCCUUAUCUAAAAGAUACAUUGUUUGGAAGUUGCUGGAGGACCGCCUAACAGGAUAUAGCCCACUGUUAGAAAGUGUGUCUGUGUUUGCGCGUGUGUUACACAGGAUCGUAUAGGACGUGAUCAAAAAAGCUGAGGCCUUUUAUUGCAGUUUUCGCUGAUUUGCAGCCUGUUUGAAUGGAUUUCCAUGAUUUUUGUCAGUCUUUGAAGUUUUUUGAGUAGUUGAUGUGGUCAUUCAGUAUCCAGGAGCCUCUUUUGUCUUCUAUAAGUCAAACUGCUACUGUCAAAACUGUAACAAAUAAAACAGCUAUAACUACACAGAAUUUUCUAAAGUUUUUGGUGCCAGCUAACCUGCAGUGGUCGAGAGAGUCUCCAUCAGAUCCAGACUCAAGAGGGGGCAGGAAACCGCCGUGGCCAGUUUGGGCUUAAGAGGAAAGAGAAGAAUAAAAAGAGGAACAUGGAGAGGCCACCAACAAUAAAAAUAGAAAAAGGAAAACUAUGGGAGAAAUUGUAGAUAAUCACCAUUAAUAGUGGCAUGUAAAGGCAUCAGUAAUGAAAAGAGCUGAGUGAAGAAGUGCUCAGUCCAUCACAGAAAACCCCCAGCAGCAUGAGUCUAUUGCACUGCAACCAAGAUUUGCU